rnacentral:lncRNA from 1 species
CCAAAUCUGGCCUGCUCACGCGUGCCCAGGCCACGACCGCGUCCACAACCAGCCGUUAUGAUGCGCAAAAAACGCCUUAGGCAUGCCAUUUUAUCAAUCUUUCCAUGCUCUAGAGUCUAGCGUAAUAACUAAUGGAUCUGCUAUUCCCAGAUUGUUUGAGAAAUUAUUAUUUCUAAGUGGACCAAGUUGCACAUCUUCAAAAGAAAGCAGCACAAAAAGUUGUGUGCAACUUUGCACGUUACACAAAAUUUAUAAAUAUGCAACUACUCAAUUUCAGUUAGAUAAAGAAUCAACACUGGUGAGAAAUGUAAGCUCCCUAUUUCCGGGUACAUAACAAAUUCUCUUCUGUUCUUUAAGUGAUCGUGUGUUCUAUUUCAGAUUUCCCUUUCCAAUUAAUAUUAAAAUUCACAAGUAUUGAACGGCUGGACACUAGACUGAAAUGGAAGGAGAAAAUCUAGAAUUUCUUAUAGCAUUCGUAAAACAUGCGUCUAGCAUGCCAUAUAUCUUUUAAGAAAUUGACCAACACAUUAAGAAGAAAAGAAGACAAAAUAUAAUGUGGACAGUAGUAAAAUAGCAUUAGAUUACUGAGUUUGUAUCUUUUUGGGUUUGAUAUGUCAGAUUGAAUUUUGACAUGAAAUUUUGUAAGGUGUAUAACAACAACAACAAAGCCUUUAGUCCCAAACAAGUUGGGAUAGGCUAGAGGUGAAACCCAUAAAAACUCGCAACCAACUCAUGGUUCUGGCACAUGGAUAGCAAGCUUUCAUGCAGCCCUGUCCAUAGCUAGUUCUAAAUUUUGUAAGGUGUAAGAAAGAAAAAUGAUUAUUUCCUGAAUUUUUAAACAGUAGACUAGUAGGAGUCUACAGUGGAGUGCAGCAAAGCCUAGUACAUCCAAAAUCUGGCCUCUAUACAUCAUUUUUUUGUCUCUACAAAAUUAAUAUUCCUUAUUAUCAAAAGUCAACUUAGAGAGGUUUGCUUACAAUAGUAAAACUCAACUUGUUGGAAUAGUGGUUUUCAAUUAGGAUUGGUUCAAAUGGAGAAAAAUUACUGUACAUGUCAAUAAACAAAUUUGCAAACUUAGAUGCAUGCCAUGAAAGGAUUAACACGUUUCUAGAAUUCAAGUCAUUAUCAUUCACCGUGUUGGAAUAGUACUAAAUGGGGAUCCAGUUACUCAAUUAGGAUUGGUUCAAAUGAUGAAAAAUCUCUUGGCAAAAUUUAGGAAUUUAGAUGCAUGUCAUGAAUAGGAUUAACAAGUUGGCACUAUGCAUACUUCGUUUGUCUGUAAAGUUCAACAUCCCUAAUUAUCAGAAAUUCAGAAGUCAACUUAGACUGGCUGGCUUUCAACAAAAAAAACACCUUGUUCGAAUUGUGCUGAAUAAUCAGAAAUUGGGAAUCCGAUCACUCAGUUAGGAUUGGCAUGUUUACUGGCACACAAAGUCAACGUCCAGGCAGAACCACUCGCCUGUAACUUUCAGGGCCGGUUCAAAACUUGCAUGAUCCUCUCCGACUAAUCGAUGGCCAUGGCCGCAAAGCACGCAACAUUUAAUUCGUCGAUCGCGAGCCUCAGGCUCCGCACGCCCCCGAGGAAUCGCACGAGGCAUCACGUACAGCAGCACAGGCACGGAUUAAUUCGCAAACGUGACUCCUUAGCCUAACAUGGUGUUUC